rnacentral:rRNA from 1 species
CUACGGGUUGCACCAGUGGAGAAUAUUGCACAAUGGGCGCAAGCCUGAUGCAGCCAUGCCGCGUGUAUGAAGAAGGCCUUCGGGUUGUAAAGUACUUUCAGCGGGGAGGAAGGGAGUAAAGUUAAUACCUUUGCUCAUUGACGUUACCCGCAGAAGAAGCACCGGCUAACUCCGUGCCAGCAGCCGCGGUAAUACGGAGGGUGCAAGCGUUAAUCGGAAUUACUGGGCGUAAAGCGCACGCAGGCGGUUUGUUAAGUCAGAUGUGAAAUCCCCGGGCUCAACCUGGGAACUGCAUCUGAUACUGGCAAGCUUGAGUCUCGUAGAGGGAGGUAGAAUUCCAGGUGUAGCGGUGAAAUGCGUAGAGAUCUGGAGGAAUACCGGUGGCGAAGGCGGCCCCCUGGACGAAGACUGACGCUCAGGUGCGAAAGCGUGGGGAGCAAACAGGAUUAGAUACCCGUGUAGUC